GCCACAGAAGCGGAGCAUGGUGAACUUAACCACCAUCCACUGGUGCUGGCCUUCUCUUUUUGUUUUUAAUUUCUAGUUCUUUGUAUAAUAUGAAUGCUAAUUUUCUUCCGUCUUUGAAACAUCCUUCCCAGUUUUCCAUUUAUUGCUGUGUCUCCUUUGUGAUACAUUUCACCCCACUAACAUUUUACACAUUGUUCUGGCAUCAAAUGUGCCCAUUUUCAGUCUCUCAUAACGGUGAAGAGAGCAACCUUCAGCCUGCACAGGAUCAAAGCCCAUACUCAGGUGAGAGGUACCGGGCUCAGGUGAGGUGUCUUGCACUCAGAUGAGGUGUCCCAGGCACAGGUGAGGGGUCCUGGGCUCAGGUGAGGGGUCCCAGGCACAGAUGAGGGGUCUCAGGCUCAGGUGAGGUGUCCUGCACUCAGAUGAGGUGUCCCAGGCACAGGUGAGGGGUCCUGGGCUCAGAUAAGGUGUCCCGGGCACAGGUGAGGAGUCCUGGACUCACGUGAGGUGCCCUGGGCUCAGGUGGGCUGUCCUGCCCUAGGCCACGCACUGGGCCGUCCUCCCUCUGACGGGCUCUGGCCCCCAGGCCUCUCUCCUCCCCCAUGCGCCAUACCACUUGGGCUUGCCUCUCACACUGUCCUCAGCCUCUGGGUGAUUCAGCAGGUGGCUGUGUGACCCCACAGAAGCUCUAGAACCACUUCCCUGCUGGUUUCUCUCCCCGACCAGCCUGGCCUUGCCCAAGCUCCCCAUUUGGUGGCCGUGUGACCUGUCCACAGGUGACUCAUGAAUGGGAAGUGUCCUGUCUCUAAGUCUCCGCCCAAGUGGCCAGAGCUCCAGGCACACACGGCAGGAGCUGGGCGCCAAGAGCCGGGCCAGCAGCCGAGCAGCCAGGGCCUCGUCCACGGUGGGGACGGCCGCCAGCCCCCUCGCCUCUCCUCACAGCAGCCACUUCCCAGGCUCGCUGCUGGAUGCUCUUCACAGCCCUUCGAAUGCACAGCAGCAAAAGCGGGAACUCCAGGGACGGCUUGACUGGAGCCAGCCCUCCGGGCCCAGUCCUUAGGAUGAGCCCACGCCCACGCUGACCUACGUCGCCACUCACACAGGCUGUGAAGCAGGGCCUGGUUCCUAGACACGCCCAGCCUGGAAUCCCACCAAGAGUGGCAGCCCCCUCUGGGACCUCAGGCCACCUCCCCACUGGAUUCCCAGGGGAAGAUGUGCAACCCCUCUGCCUACAGACGCCUCUGCCCGUCCAUCAGCACAGCCCAAAACACGGCCCUAACCGGAUCCUUCUGACACGCCAUCCCAGGAGAGGACAUUCAGGAAGUCACAUAAUUAGGCUGUUAACGAAAAAAAUAACCGAACAUGCAUAAAUCAGAACAGUGUGCUGACAGUGUUUUACACGGCACAGAUGGGAGAAGACACACAGGACUUUUACAGCAAACUUAUUCAAUCAGCGUCAUCUGUCCAGAGAGGCAUCUUGGUUAAGAACGGGAUGUGAACUUUUUCCUGACAAUUCAAUUCGGGUGUUAAAACAUUUAACUUGUUCAAAAAGGCGCGGUCUGUAAUGAUGCCAUCGUUCGCAGCCCUGACAGCGACGCUGCUCCCUCUGGACCUGGCUGCCUCCAGCCCAGUGCUUCCCUUGGGAAAAGCCCCACGCCGCCCUGUCACGCACCAGGGACCGAUGGUGACAGCAACUGGGCGGGUGCCUCUGAGCUUCCCUAACCCCAGCGAGACUGGUCUCAGAGCUUAGACAUGAUGCUUCCAGGAACUCCCGGACACUGGGAAUCAGUUGUGGUGACACGUCCCACUUGUGCUGCUCUCAUUUCCUGAACUGCAGGCCUUUAUUGUUUUUAUUAAUAAAAGUAAUCCGUGCUCAUAGGACAAAAAGCAAAGUGCACCAGAGAACACAGAGAAGAAAAUUCGAGCUUGACCUCGCUCCCUCACCAGGCCCCCUCCGGAGGAGGGCUCGGUGCCCACAAGCACUUGCAGGCUUCUUCUCUGAGAAAAUGCUCAUAUAUUUAAUGAUGAGAUGACAUUAAUCUAUUUAAUGAAAUGACACACACAUUUUUCAGAACGCUAUUAUAUUAGCGAGGCUGUCAUGGCAGGUUUCCACUCCGCCUGUUUCCACGGGCAGCUCCCACUUCAGACGUGAACCCACCCCCUGUCCCUCGGCCCCCAGAAGAUAAGCAAUGUGUCUACUUUGGUGAAACUAUCGAUAUUCUCUUUGUGAAUAACGUACGGUCAACUCUUGUAACCGUGUCAUGUCUCUGUUUCAGGACAGAGAAUUUGAUAUGUUUAUUAGAUCCGAAACAUUGAGGGUAUAUUCUUCCGGCCCCACAUCUGGCUCGGCUGUCAUGACAGGGAGGUGAGUGGAAGUUCACGGCCACAGUUGGUUUCUUUUUCUUCUUUAUGCAUUUCUGCCAUUUUUGACUCCAAACAUUUUGGUGUUUGUCCUCGGGACACCUGUAACUUCCAGCCUUGUGCUCUGUGGCUCGGUCUGGAGUUGAACCGUGGAGAUGUUACUGUCUGGCCACAUUGUCCAUUCACAUGCGUGUGUACGUCACACACAAACCGCCCGCCUUCCUCCCCGGGACCUCCUAGGACUUCUGGGGGCAGCUCCUGGCCCAUACCCUCUAUGCAGCGCAGAGGAAGAAGAAAAAGCCACGCGAUGAUGAAUGACAGGACUGAGGGGAGCACGGGAGCGGUGGAGAGCAAAACACACAAUGAGACGACAGAAGGGCAGUGUGUCUGCCAGGACGACACAAACUGCAGGCGGCCCAACCCGCAGGAAGUCGUCCAACAAGGAGUCAGAGGUCCCCACGUGUACCAGGGGCGUCACAGUCCGACUUCUAAAGGUGAAAAAUUGGGAAAACCUCAGGUGCUGGGUCUGUAAACCACGGUCCACCCACAAGACGGAGUGGCUGUGAACAGUGACGUGAAGACGCCUGCCUCACGGUGCAGAGCGAAGGGGAGCAAACUUGUGAGUAAUGUGCAUGUGAGGGUCUCUUAAACAGUGAGACCCCCCAACAUGGGCGCUCUGCCCUUGGAGGUCGCUGUCCCCCAUCCUGGGGCAGUAGUGGGCACAGGGCCGGUGCUCAUUAAGCACCUGUAUGGAUCAGUGAAUGAGUGAAUGAAUGAAGGGAGAGAGGUUAGCAAGGAUGCUCACCACACCAUGGCCGAAGGACAUCCCAGGUGCUGAGACAUGAGGGGAUGUUUACUCUUUUCACUUUGUUCAGUGUUUUACAGUAAGUGUCUGCCAUCUUCAUAACUGGAACAAUAAAGUUUGGUUUGAAAACAAAA